rnacentral:misc_RNA from 1 species
AGCUAACUCUCUAUCCUAUUUAGGAAAAAAAAAGAUAGUAGUGGCUCUCUCUUUAAUCUUGUAUAAAGAGAAAAAGCUUUGUUUUCACUUCUGUUCUCCCUCUGGUUUCAGCCAUUUCUUCUGCCUUCUCUGAGGCCUCCUUUUCCCCUUUCAGGUAAGGGAGGUCGUUCCUGGUCCAGAAUAGUGGGUUUUGCCCCUUAUUCUAGGUGGGGUUGUAAAUAUGUUACUUUUAGCUUGCUUUUGCAAAUUGAGCUAUGUUAGAAAGUCUGUGAACUGUGUUGGGUAUACAUGACCCUUUCUCUAUUGUUUUGAGUGUAGGUUUUGGAGCUUUUCAUAGAUGAUUCUUCAAUUACUUCAGGAUUAAUGGGUUAACGAUUUCCAGUGGCGUGGUAACUCUUUAAGAUAUUACCCAUAUCUUUCUUUGAGCAUUUAGUCUCUCGAUGGCCAGAGAAGUAAAAGAGCUUUGCCCACCACUCAUCUAUUCCCUUGGUUUCAGAUCCAUUUCACCACUAUGGCUUUGAGUUUCUUCUUGUUGCGCGGGUCCUUUUUGGCUUGCUUGACAUCUUGGAGGUGCUAUAUAGUGAGAAUUUCUUGAUCUGUGGGCUCUGGUCGUGUUGGUUUUCCCUUGUGCUUCCUCCAUUGUCCUUCGUCUUCCCCGAGAUGGGAUCUGCACGGGUUUUCAAUGCUGCGACGGCGGCAUUGCCAAUCUCAAUCAUCUAGAUCCUCUCACAGGUUGAAUUCUAGAAGAGUUUUCUUUAUUGGGGCCUCUGGCCCUUUCCAUUGUAUUUGUUUGGGGCAACCUUUUGGGGCCUUUUUUUUUUUGGUUUUUAUUGUUUUGGGCUUGUCUUGUGGAUUUUCUAUUAUGUUUAGCUAAGGUGAGAUCCUUUUAUCUCUGUAAUCCGUUGGUCCUAAUUGGUCCCUCUAGCUAUAUACCAGGCCCAAGGUCUUUCUUGCAAUGAAUACUCAACUUUGAAUAAACAAAUCCUAUCUAGG